rnacentral:rRNA from 1 species
AUACGGAGGAUCCGAGCGUUAUCCGGAUUUAUUGGGUUUAAAGGGAGCGUAGGUGGAUAGUUAAGUCAGUUGUGAAAGUUUGCGGCUCAACCGUAAAAUUGCAGUUGAUACUGGCUGUCUUGAGUACAGUAGAGGUGGGCGGAAUUCGUGGUGUAGCGGUGAAAUGCUUAGAUAUCACGAAGAACUCCGAUUGCGAAGGCGGCUCACUAGACUGCAACUGACACUGAUGCUCGAAAGUGUGGGUAUCAAACAGGAUUAGAUACCCUGGUAGUCCACACAGUAAACGAUGAAUACUCGCUGUUUGCGAUAUACAGUAAGCGGCCAAGCGAAAGCAUUAAGUAUUCCACCUGGGGAGUACGCCGGCAACGGUGAAACUCAAAUGAAUUGACGGGG